rnacentral:snoRNA from 1 species
CCCCUCUCAAAGUCACAACUGGAGAGUUUCCAGUACUCUACCAGUCUUGACUGGGGGAAGGAGAGUCAAGUAGAGGCAUAUCCAUUCCAUUCCUAACUUGGGCAGUGGCUAGCGAGUGGAAGGCAAUCUGCUACAAGU